rnacentral:lncRNA from 15 species
GAAACUGCUGAAUCCCAUCCGCACUUCUGCCUGAGACAAGUUAGGGAGAAAGGGACGGGGGUAACGCGAGGUGUUGGUGCGCUGCGCUAUCUCCAACGCUGGACCCGGAUUCACUCCAGCGCUCUCCAGGACAGCCGACCGUCAGCCAAAAACGUGACCAGAAUAAUUUGCCUCCGUUUUGUCAUAAAUAUUACAGCGGGAGGGGGGAAAACCCUCCACGGCUGCAGAUACAGAGCGCAGCAGUGCCUGGUGCCCGCUCACAAAACAUCUAAUAUCACAGUGGUCAGGCGUUUUUCUUUUAAUUCCCUACUCAACACGGCACGCUACUCCUGUCCACUUUUACGCAGCGGACUUGUACAGCAUCCCACACACUGACCGGCCAAACGCAUGAUUAUGCGCUAACCGCUCGCUGGAGCGCAGUCGCUCCAUCCCAGUGACCAAUACCGUGAUCUGCAAGCAGAGGGGGGAGGAUGGUGAGGGGGGGUUUGUUAGAAGGGGGAGGAGACAGGGGAUGCGGGAGGAGGAGUGGGGGGCUGUGGUGUGUGUGCGUGUGUGAUGGGUAGCCUUUUACAAGGACGACCUGAGAUUCCUCAAGGGUGAACGCUCUUCUGUAGUAAUUCAACGAGAUUUCCCAAUUACCUGCGCCCCCCCUCCCCCCCUCUCUCAAAACAUAUUACACUCACUUCACCUGAUCUCCCUCAAAGGAAAAUGCCUGGAUUCAGGCUUGACUUGAUCAUAUCAGUCUCCCCCCACUGUGGAGGAGUCGUUUGGAGGCUUCUCUAUAUGCUUUGCUGCACACUGGAGGCUGUACAAAGAGUGUCUGCCCUGCUCAUGUCAGACUCUAAAUGUGGCGACUUCAUUGCCGGAGGAGGAUGGGCUGGUUAAAGAGCAGUUUCAUGAGGCUUGAAGCCAUAUUUUACCUGGGAUUAUCGUCUCAUUGUAAGUUGUAUCCUUCCACCUGCUGAUCAAUGAGCACCCUGUCACCAUGAGCUGUGGGCAGGGAUGAAGGUCACUGACUGUCAAAUUUGUGACCUUGGUCACCCAAUAAAUAUAAGGUCCUUGUCACUGUAAUUCUCACACUGAUUUACAGACUGUUGUCUUAGCGAGGGGGGUAAAUUACUGCGCAAGUGAAUAUGUGAGAUAAACUGUGCAGAGGGAGGUUUAGAUAAAAGGUGUGAACACCUGCGGUCUUCUAGGAGAGACGGGGCAGCUGAUGUCAGCUGUUCACUGUUCAUGAAAUCCCAUAGUGGAAUGUGUGCUAAAAUAAAAAAGAAAUGCGCUAAUUAAAACUUCAUACAUUUGUUUUUCCCAAAUGGAUGCAUUAUAAAACCAGACAAUGAAUGUUAAACCUAUUUUGAAUUGGUAAAUGGGUACUAGAACCUGUUACUCUUGUAUCUGCAAUUUCCAUGUUUGACCCUUGUGUGCCAAUAAACAGAUGGUGGAAUAAAUUGCCGUUUAUAUAACCUUGAACAAAAAACCUUUUAUGCCUGUAAAACUAAAUUAUAUCAGCAUAGACCCUCCUGCACCCCCCUCUACUCCAAAGUAUUUAUUUUCCAUCCUAAUCUGGACUGUAUUUUUUACUUUACUUGCAUUUUUCUUGUUGCUAUCAGUGUAAUUAUUAUCUUAUACAUCAUCAUCAUCAUCAUCAUCAUCAUCAUGUAUAAGUUAUGUGUCCUUCAGUUUUAUCUGCAGUGAGUGUGUAAUGUUUAAUGCAAUUGUUUGACACUUUGGGAAAUAAGCUUUCAUGCAGAGUGUAGGAUGAGAAGCUAUAUAGCACUCUCAUAUCUUUCUGAUAAAUAUACAUUAUAGCCAUUUAGCUUAGCUUAGCAUCUAGACUGGAACCAGGGGGAAACAUCUAGCCUGGCUCUGUCUGACGGUAAUGAAAUCCACCUCCCAGCACCUCUAAAGCUCACCAAUUAACACCUUACACCUCGUCCGUACAAAAUCUCUCUCGCACUAUUUCUUGCCAUGGAGGAGUACAAGUAUCCGCUGGUUGCCUGGCAACCUUAAGACUACAAGUCACCACAUAACCCUCUUUGGUUUUCAUACAGAUUGAACAAGAGCGGUAUUAAGGGUUAGUGGUGAGCUUUAGAGGGACUAAUAGGUGGACUUUGUUACCUUUGAGCUGAGCCAGGCUAGCUGUUUCCCCCUGCUUCCAGCCAUUAUGCUAAGCUAAGCUAACUAGCUGCUGGCUUUAGCUGUAUAUAUACCAUAGUAACAUUAGAGUUGUGUUCUCAUUGGUAUGAAAGUGAGUACCUGUAUUUCCCAAAAAACUAUUUAUUUAAGAGCUUGAAUAUUGUAACUAUAUAUAUAUAUAUAUAUGCUAGCUUUACAUGUAUUUUGAAUAUGAUAUGUAAUGUAAUAUAAUAUGCAGGCACAGGUUUGGUUCAGGGUGGGCUGACCGAUGAUAGCCUCAUAUAUGUGUGGAUUAAAAAGAUAUGUGUAAAGGUAAGGCAAAAUCUUGAGAGGAAAAGAUUGUGAAACAUCAUGAUUUUCUAAACAGUCCUAAACACAAAGAUUUUAGCAGUUUUUCUGCACAUUUGUCACCCCCCUAACCAACUUCACACUCCACCCCCUCCGUCACUAUAUUUUCUCUGUAGCCCACCUUUUCCCUUUCACUGCGCCACACAUUUUACAGGACAGAGGCCCCCCUGUGAACCCGCAGUGUCAUCUUUUUUUUUUUGACAAACACAAAAACACAGUGAAUUGCCCUUGCUACCGAUCUGAAUCUCUUGUGAAAACAGUAACAUACAAAUGCAAACUAGCCAGUGAUUAGGAGCAUCUGCCAAACACCCACAUACCAUAUGCCUGUGUCACUCAGCCAAGGAAAAAUACAGAAACACAUCUAAACAUGCACACAUGAUACUAGAAAGCAAAUAAAAACAUUGUUGACAGAAAGGCUCAGAAACUGACACAUGUGCAUGCAAAUUUGCAGAAACGGUUGAGACAUACUGCAGCCUAAACAUCAAGAUGGCAUAGUGAUAAACACAGAGGUCCACAUUCAAGUAGAGCAAGAAUCAGCACCACAUAAAGGGAAAUUGUCCUCAAUAUAUCAUUCAUUUGUAAUUUUUAGCGCAAUCCAGCAGCUUUCUUACUGUUUUAAUGCAUACACCUUUUCUUGCAUCUAGCUGGUAUUCCAUCGCCUCAUCUAUUUUACUGAUUUCCUAUAUUUCCCAGAAUGCCUUUCAGCAACACCAAGACGAGUGACACGAACCUGCUGUAUGCAGCCAUGUGGUUAAAGAGCAGCAGUAAUAGCAGAGCAGAAGGUUUUUUCAGACUCCAAAUGCAACAUGUGAGUCUAUGAAGAAUCUCAUAACUCUUCUUCCUCUGCAGAGGAUUUCUUCCCAUAUGGUUGUUAAAUGUCAGUACAAAAUGCUAAGGCUAAAAAGAAUCCCCCUGCUCUUUGAUUUUAUGUAGUGAUAUCAAAAUAUGACCCUUCUCUCGGAUGUGUCAGAGGAGUGAACAUUUUUCUGUCAACGCUCAUUGCUGCUGUGCUCGAAACAUCUCAAGUUGUCACCACCGAACCACAAUAUGCUUGUUAAUUUUUGAUGUCAGUAUGUAAAGUGGAAACUAAAGUCCUUCAAGAUGCAAUAAUGUUUUUUCUGUCGCCAAUAAUGUGUAGUACUGUGACCUCCCUGUUAUAUCCCUGGAGAGGGAUUAUCAAUAAAGAAUCA